rnacentral:rRNA from 1 species
UUGGAGGGCAAGUCUGGUGCCAGCAGCCGCAGUAAUUCCAGCUCCAAUAGCGUAUAUUAAAGUUGUUGCAGUUAAAAAGCUCGUAGUUGAACCUCGGGGUCUACCCAUUGGUCAGGCUUAAUUGUCUGCACUGGUGAGAUGGAUCUCUACCUUCUGAGGAACUUUCAUGCCAUUUAUUUGGUGUGAUGGGAAAUCAGGACUGUUACUUUGAAAAAAUUAGAGUGUUUAAAGCAGACUAUCGUCUGAAUACAUUAGCAUGGAAUAAUGAAAUAGGACGGACUGAUUCUAUUUCGUUGGUUUCUAGGAUCACCGUAAUGAUUAAUAGGGAUAGUUGGGGGCAUUAGUAUUCAAUUGCCGGAGGUGAAAUUCUUGGAUUUAUUGAAGACUAACUACUGCGAAAGCAUUUGCCAAGGAUGUUUUCAUUAAUCAAGAACGAAAGUUAGGGGAUCGAAGACGAUCAGAUACCGUCGUAGUCUUAACCAUAAACUAUGCCGACUAGGGAUCGGACGAAGUUAAUUUUAUAAUGACGCGUUCGGCACCUUACGGGAAACCAAAGUGUUUGGGUUC